rnacentral:tRNA from 1 species
GGGCUGGUGGCUCAGCUGGUAGAGCACUACCUCGGCAUGGUAGGGGCCGCGCGUUCGAAUCGCGCCCAGUCCACCA